GGAGAGGUGCGAGAGCGGUUGAAUCGGGCGGUCUCGAAAACCGUUGUCCGCCUAUCGGCGGACCGUGGGUUCGAAUCCCACCCUCUCCG
rnacentral:tRNA from 1 species